GACGAACGCUGGCGGCGUGCCUAAUACAUGCAAGUAGAACGCUGAAGGAGGAGCUUGCUUCUCUGGAUGAGUUGCGAACGGGUGAGUAACGCGUAGGUAACCUGCCUGGUAGCGGGGGAUAACUAUUGGAAACGAUAGCUAAUACCGCAUAAUAGCAGUUGUUGCAUGACAACUGUUUGAAAGGUGCAAUUGCACCACUACCAGAUGGACCUGCGUUGUAUUAGCUAGUUGGUGGGGUAACGGCUCACCAAGGCGACGAUACAUAGCUGACCUGAGAGGGUGAUCGGCCACACUGGGACUGAGACACGGCCCAGACUCCUACGGGAGGCAGCAGUAGGGAAUCUUCGGCAAUGGACGGAAGUCUGACCGAGCAACGCCGCGUGAGUGAAGAAGGUUUUCGGAUCGUAAAGCUCUGUUGUAAGAGAAGAACGAGUGUGAGAGUGGAAAGUUCACACUGUGACGGUAUCUUACCAGAAAGGGACGGCUAACUACGUG
rnacentral:rRNA from 1 species